UCAAAAUUCAUGAGUUAAAUAUGGUUUCAACGGGGACAAUUUUGUAUUCAAUUAAUUACUCAGAGGUUGCUUAAAGUUAAAAUGUAAAAAUAGGAAAGUACAAGGAUCAGCUACAUGUCUUGAUGUAUAUCUAGGGUUUUGCUCUCAUGUUGAUUCAGGAAAUCAAUGUUUGAUCAUGAAUAAUGGAAAUGAAAUUAAAAAUUUUACAGUUUCAUUAAUUUCAACAAACUGUUUGAUUAUUAUCUCAAAGGAGAUAACUGAAAUAGAUGCAUUCUUGAAGCUUGGUUAUUCUCCUUCCCUUGUUAUUAUUAAUCAAGAGGAUGAAUCUAGCCAUCUAAACC